GCGACGGGUUUAACGUGCGGGUCCCUCUGCCGGGCCCGCUGUUUGACGCCCUGCCCCGGGAGAUCCAGAGUGGCAUGCUGCUGCGAGUGCAGCCCGUCCUCUUCAACGUGGGCAUCAAUGAGCAGCAGACACUGGCCGAGAGGUUUGGCGAUACGUCUUUACAAGAAGUCAUCAACGUGGAGAGUUUGGUGCGGUUAAAUUCCUACUUUGAGCAGUUUAAGGAAGUUUUGCCUGAGGAUUCCUAUGUGACAUGGCUCCUUCCCAUGCUGUCGUAGUCACUGACACUCGAUGUGUUUGGUGGCAUGCAUUGUGCACCUGCUGGUAGGACUUGGGGGAAUCACAGAGGCAGGACCCACCCUCGGCCAGUGAAGAUGCUGCAGCUAGGGCUCUGCAGCCACAGAACUAAGGGAGGAACCGAGAGCUGCACAGCACUGUCUACGAGAAUUCCCUCUUGAGUUCAACCCAGUGAAUAUUCCCUGAGGACCUGCUGUGUGUAAAGUGCUAGAGGAUCCGAUGGCGAAUGAGGGGUGGACCCUACCUUGGAGGGAAAGCUGGUCCCAGAGUGCCGGCCUCUCUGUGCAGGCGCUGCCACAGCCACUGGGGGCGCCACGCGUCAGAAGGUCACGGAUGUGCCAGACACUGGGCUGGGCUCUACGUACGUUUCCACGCUGAAUCCACAACAGCCCUAUGGGUCGGUGAUAGGAUCCAUGUCCAGAUGAAGAAAGGGGUGCCUGGCUCUGAAGCCCAUGUGCUUGGAUUGUGGCUGAAGCUGUCCUGCUAGGAGAGAGUGAUGCAGAACACUCCGGGGCUGGGCCAAGAAGUCGUGGCUUCAGUGGUGUUCAGCAGGGAAGCAGUGGGAAAAAAGACGCCUCUUCACA
rnacentral:sRNA from 1 species